rnacentral:rRNA from 1 species
UACGGGGGGAGCAAGCGUUGUUCGGAUUUACUGGGCGUAAAGGGCGCGUAGGCGGCCAGCACAAGUCAGUUGUGAAAUCUCCGGGCUUAACUCGGAAAGGUCAACUGAUACUGUGCGGCUAGAGUGCAGAAGGGGCAACUGGAAUUCUCGGUGUAGCGGUGAAAUGUGUAGAGAUCGGGAGGAACACCGGUGGCGAAGGCGGGUCUCUGGGCAUCUCCUGACGCUGAGGCGCGAAAGCGUGGGGAGCAAACGGG